rnacentral:tmRNA from 1 species
GUGCGAUCCGUUAAUCGCAAACUUAAAUAUAAACGCUGACGAAAAUCAGUACGCUCUUGCAGCCUAAGCUGUAGGAGGCUGUCGCUUUAGCGGCCCGUCUGUCCCCGUGCACUCACACGCGGGGGUACAGGCGUCAAACAUGUGAGAAACGACGUGCGCUAAGCUUUGCACGCACGGGCGUAUCAUGAAGCUACUUACUUAUAAGGUUUGUCCUUGGACCUUUUAAGUAAGGAAACGGAGCGAUCCAAAACCAAUGACUAUGAUAGUAGAAGUACAGGGAAUGGGUCUUUGGACACGGGUUCGACUCCCGUCUACUCCACU